AAAAAGACAAAUCCUGGUUUCCGUGUCUAAUGUUUGACCGUCUUAUUUGAAAAAAUUAUAAAAAAAAUAAAAAGACAAGUCACGCAUAAAAUAUUAAUCAUAUUUUAUCAUCUAACAACAACGAAAAUACGAAUUAUAAAAAAAUUUCAUAUAAAAUGGACAGUCAAAGUUGGACACGGAAAUUCAGGGUUUGACUUUUU
rfam:Oryza barthii chromosome 4, whole genome shotgun sequence.